ensembl:snoRNA
AGUUGUGGUAGUUUCUUUCUGGUACAUUUGUUAAGUUUUCAAAUGGGCCUAACUCUGCCACAUAUAUUGGAAGGAGCUGGCAAAGGCUUAAAGACAGAAAGAUCUCUCUUGAGCUUUCGUGUAUUGAUAUUAGCUCUUAUAGUA